GAUGAACGCUGGCGGCGUGCCUAAUACAUGCAAGUCGAGCGAACAGACGAGGAGCUUGCUCCUCUGACGUUAGCGGCGGACGGGUGAGUAACACGUGGAUAACCUACCUAUAAGACUGGGAUAACUUCGGGAAACCGGAGCUAAUACCGGAUAAUAUAUUGAACCGCAUGGUUCAAUAGUGAAAGACGGUUUUGCUGUCACUUAUAGAUGGAUCCGCGCCGCAUUAGCUAGUUGGUAAGGUAACGGCUUACCAAGGCGACGAUGCGUAGCCGACCUGAGAGGGUCAUCCGCCACACUGGAACUGAGACACGUUCCAGACUCCUGCGGUAGGCAGCGGUAGGGAAUCUUCCGGGAUGGGGCAAAGCCUGACGGAGCAACGCCGCGUGAGUGAUGAAGGUCUUCGGAUCCUAGAACUCUGUUAUUAGGGAAGUUCAAAUGUGUAAGUAACUAUGCACGUCUUGACGGUACCUAGUCAGAAAGCCACGGCUAACUACGUG
rnacentral:rRNA from 1 species